UCCACAGUAGCUCAGUGGUAGAGCUAUCGGCUGUUAACCGAUCGGUCGUAGGUUCGAGUCCUACCUGUGGAGCUA
rnacentral:tRNA from 1 species